rnacentral:rRNA from 1 species
CCUACGGGAGGCAGCAGUGGGGAAUAUUGGACAAUGGGCGAAAGCCUGAUCCAGCAAUGCCGCGUGAGUGAUGAAGGCCUUCGGGUCGUAAAGCUCUUUUACCAGGGAUGAUAAUGACAGUACCUGGAGAAUAAGCUCCGGCUAACUCCGUGCCAGCAGCCGCGGUAAUACGGAGGGAGCUAGCGUUGUUCGGAAUUACUGGGCGUAAAGAGUACGUAGGCGGUUAUUCAAGUCAGAGGUGAAAGCCCGGGGCUCAACCCCGGAACUGCCUUUGAAACUAGAUAACUAGAGUCUUGGAGAGGUUAGUGGAAUUCCGAGUGUAGAGGUGAAAUUCGUAGAUAUUCGGAAGAACACCAGUGGCGAAGGCGACUAACUGGACAAGUACUGACGCUGAGGUACGAAAGCGUGGGGAGCAAACAGGAUUAGAUACCCUGGUAGUCCACGCCGUAAACGAUGAUAACUAGUUGUUCGGUCACUUGGUGACUGAGUGACGCAGCUAACGCAUUAAGUUAUCCGCCUGGGGAUACGGUCGCAAGNUUAAAACUUAAAGGAAUUGACGG